GUUUGAUCCUGGCUCAGGACGAACGCUGGCGGCGUGCCUAACACAUGCAAGUCGAACGAGAAUCUUUGAACAGAUCUUUUCGGAGUGACGUUCAAAGAGGAAAGUGGCGGACGGGCGAGUAACGCGUGAGUAACCUGCCCAUAAGAGGGGGAUAAUCCAUGGAAACGUGGACUAAUACCGCAUAUUGUAGUUAAGUUGCAUGACUUGAUUAUGAAAGAUUUAUCGCUUAUGGAUGGACUCGCGUCAGAUUAGAUAGUUGGUGAGGUAACGGCUCACCAAGUCAACGAUCUGUAGCCGAACUGAGAGGUUGAUCGGCCGCAUUGGGACUGAGACACGGCCCAGACUCCUACGGGAGGCAGCAGUGGGGAAUAUUGCGCAAUGGGGGCAACCCUGACGCAGCAACGCCGCGUGCAGGAAGAAGGUCUUCGGAUUGUAAACUGUUGUCGCAAGGGAAGAAGACAGUGACGGUACCUUGUGAGAAAGUCACGGCUAACUACGUGCCAGCAGCCGCGGUAAUACGUAGGUGACAAGCGUUGUCCGGAUUUACUGGGUGUAAAGGGCGCGUAGGCGGACUGUCAAGUCAGUCGUGAAAUACCGGGGCUUAACCCCGGGGCUGCGAUUGAAACUGACAGCCUUGAGUAUCGGAGAGGAAAGCGGAAUUCCUAGUGUAGCGGUGAAAUGCGUAGAUAUUAGGAGGAACACCAGUGGCGAAGGCGGCUUUCUGGACGACAACUGACGCUGAGGCGCGAAAGUGUGGGGAGCAAACAGGAUUAGAUACCCUGGUAGUCCACACCGUAAACGAUGGAUACUAGGUGUAGGAGGUAUCGACCCCUUCUGUGCCGCAGUUAACACAAUAAGUAUCCCACCUGGGGAGUACGACCGCAAGGUUGAAACUCAAAGGAAUUGACGGGGGCCCGCACAAGCAGUGGAGUAUGUGGUUUAAUUCGAAGCAACGCGAAGAACCUUACCUGGGCUUGACAUCCCUGGAAUCGAGUAGAGAUACUUGAGUGCCUUCGGGAAUCAGGUGACAGGUGGUGCAUGGUUGUCGUCAGCUCGUGUCGUGAGAUGUUGGGUUAAGU
rnacentral:rRNA from 1 species